UUUAAAGAGCCCAGUAAAUGGACUCUUACUGUCUUGAUUUGAUGGAUUUCCUGUUGAAACAGGAAGUUAGGGCGGGACAUGGUGCAGGGAAGGAUCACU